rnacentral:tRNA from 2 species
GGACUGAGUCGGUAGAAACUACGCUCACCUCGUAGCGGUCGCUGGUUCGAGUCCAGCAGCGACCA